GUGAAAGAAUUGAAAUUUGAGAAGAGAAAAAUUUUGCAAAUCAAAGAUUGCAUGGUCAGGCUUCCAACAUGCUUCAAACGGGCUAUGGAAAGAGUUUACAUACCAGAUAUCUGCUACCCGAUAAUCAAGUCUGCAUUCAAAGGAGCAGACAUUCUUCCCUGGUCUAUAUAGCUUCAUUGAAAGGAAUCAGACACAGAAAGUUUGGGGAAAUGAAAUUGAGAGUCACUGUGAAUAAUUCACACACAUGCUAGACAUAAAGAAAUGGCCAGACACAGGCUCAGCUAUAGAAUCUGUAUCAACUGGAAGCAACAGCAUUUUCAUCAGAAAACUAAAAGGGAUGUGAAAAACAUGAAACAUGCAUUUGGAAAUGUUCAGCCGCCAAACAAAUAGAUAUGCCAGGAAAUGCAAAUUGUUUGCUAAUAUAAAUGUCAAUGAUGUCUGUACAAAAGCAAAGAUAUAAAAGCCUUUUUCAUUUAUACAUGUAACAGUCAUAUACAAUACAGAUUUAAGACCAUCAGACAAUCUUUAAAUCUUUGGAAGCCACGGUACCUAGUCCAAGACAUUCCAUAUUUUCAACUCGUUAUGAAGACAUAUUUGACCAAUCUGGUUUCCAAUAGAAGUUUAAAAAUAAGUUCUACAUGUACAUAACACGAUGAUCACCAGCAAUGAAGGUGAUAUAGGAUAUAAUAUUCAAAGUAGAGAAUUAUAAAGUGAAUUUGAACCUCCCACCAUAAUAGCAUUCUGCACAUUUUGGAUCACAUAUGGAUCAAGCUGUUGUACUUGUGAACUAAAAGAUUGUUGCUUGGUUGUUGUCAGGUACAUUGUACAUGUUGACAGUGCUAUAUGUUCAUUAAAUAAAAUGCAGUUCAGAACAGUUA